UCUUAUGGAUGAGCAAAGAAAGUGGUUUCUUGAGAUGGAAACUACUCCUGGUGAAUAUGUAGUGAA
rnacentral:pre_miRNA from 1 species